CUUACACUCAAUGCACACACAUACAGACACACACCUUGCAACCCUUAUGCAUACAAACACAGAUUCACACAAUGCAUCCCUUACACACAACCAGAAACACAUAAUAUACACAAAUACACACUGAUUCCACUACACACAAACACACUACAUCACCUGCACAAACUGGUAACCCUAUACACUACAUACCAUAAGCACACAUAUUAGAUCCUCUACAAUAACACAUAAC
rnacentral:lncRNA from 1 species